GACGAACGCUGGCGGCGUGCUUAACACAUGCAAGUCGAACGGAAAGGCCCUGCUUUUGUGGGGGGCUCGAGUGGCGAACGGGUGAGUAACACGUGAGUAACCUGCCCUUGACUUUGGGAUAACUUCAGGAAACUGGGGCUAAUACCGGAUAGGAGCUCCUGCUGCAUGGUGGGGGUUGGAAAGUUUCGGCGGUUGGGGAUGGACCCGCGGCUUAUCAGCUUGUUGGUGGGGUAGUGGCUUACCAAGGCUUUGACGGGUAGCCGGCCUGAGAGGGUGACCGGCGACAGUGGGACUGAGAUACGGCCCAGACUCCUACGGGAGGCAGCAGUGGGGAAUAUUGCACAAUGGGCGGAAGCCUGAUGCAGCAACGCCGCGUGCGGGAUGACGGCCUUCGGGUUGUAAACCGCUUUCGCCUGUGACGAAGCGUGAGUGACGGUAAUGGGUAAAGAAGCACCGGCUAACUACGUG
rnacentral:rRNA from 1 species